rnacentral:rRNA from 1 species
GACGUAGGGCGCGAGCGUUUGUCCGGAUUUAUUGGGCGUAAAGAGCUCGUAGGCGGUUUGUCGCGUCUGCUGUGAAAAACUCGGGGCUUAACCCCGGGCCUGCAGUGGGUACGGGCAGACUAGAGUGCGGUAGGGGGAGACUGGAAUUCCAGGUGUAGCGGUGAAAUGCGCAGAUAUCAGGAGGAACACCGGUGGCGAAGGCGGGUCUCUGGGCAAUAACUGACGCUGAGGAGCGAAAGCGUGGGGAGCGAACAGG